UACGUAGGGACCAAGCGUUGCUCGGAUUUACUGGGCGUAAAGGGCGCGUAGGCGGCCACGACAAGUCAGUUGUGAAAUCUCUGGGCUUAACUCAGAACGGUCAACUGAUACUGUCGGGCUAGAGUGCAGAAGGGGCAACUGGAAUUCUCGGUGUAGCGGUGAAAUGCGUAGAUAUCGAGAGGAACACCUGCGGCGAAGGCGGGUUGCUGGGCUGACACUGACGCUGAGGCGCGAAAGCUAGGGGAGCAAACGGG
rnacentral:rRNA from 1 species